UACGUAGGGGGCAAGCGUUAUCCGGAUUUAUUGGGUUUAAAGGGUGCGCAGGCGGCACGGCAAGCCGGCGGUCAAAUCGCGGGGCUCAACCCCGCCCAGCCGUCGGAACUGCCGGGCUAGAGUGGGCGAGAAGUGCGCGGAAUGCGUGGUGUAGCGGUGAAAUGCAUAGAUAUCACGCAGAACUCCGAUUGCGAAGGCAGCGCACCGGCGCCCUACUGACGCUCAGGCACGAAAGCGUGGGGAUCAAACAGG
rnacentral:rRNA from 1 species